rnacentral:rRNA from 2 species
CUUUACCUGAGAUCAAGUAAGAUUACCUGCUGAACUUAAGCAUAUCAGUAAGCGGAGGAAA